UUGUUAUUUUUAAUGUAAAAGAAGAUGUGAGUUAUCUAUCUAUCUUCCCAAGGAAGAGAAGUUGUGAAGUGAGGGGAUGAUACCGAACUGUGUUAGAGUAACAACAGCCACAACCAUGGCUGUUCCUUCAUUCAUGGCAAUACGAAGAAGACCCAUAUGCUUCUUAUGUUGCGCUUCUUCUUCAACCAUCAUCAAUACAGAGCAAUUACGUUCUCAACUUGAUCAUCUUCAUGCUGAAGCAGAUACCACCAGAACCAAGGCAAAUAAUGCUAGAUUGAGGCUCCUAAGAUUAUCAGAAUCGGCAGAGAAGCUUAAAAAACAAGCAGCUAUAAGCAUGCAAAAGGGGGAUGAAAAUUAUGCAAGGGAUAUGCUUGUACAAAGGAAAAAGGUGUUGCAGGCUUUGGAGAAGUCUAAAAACCGCAUUGAAUUGCUUGACGAGCUUUCCACAAAGCUAAGUGAGGUAAUAUCUUUGAAAGAAAGUCAGCUAGUUGGAAAUGUCACUAUGAACAUGGAAGACACAACAGAAGAUGCUUCAAGUCCCGUUCGAAUCGUUGCUCCAAAGGAGGAAGUUCUAAAAGAUUCUCCCAAGGAUGAUUCUGACCUUAAUAUGAUGAAAUUCGGCGAUAUUCAAGAUAUGCAAAUUUCUUCGGAAAGUCAAGAGAAUCCACCGGAUGAUACGGAGACAGAGAAUCUUCUGAGAUCCCUUAAGACCGCCACUGGAAAUGAAAACAACAUACCCAACAGCUUGUCGGAAAUAUCCUCGUACAAGGAUUUCAUGGAACAUAUAGAUCAAAAGCUCCAUGAGAUUGAAACUGAACUAGUUGCUUUUUUGAAUUUCUCAGUUUUAGUAUUGGAUAGUGAGGAGAGACCAAAGAAUUCCAGGUGGCAACAAACAAUGGAACUCCUUGAGAGCAUCCAUGGCAUUAGACAGAGAAUCAGAAGUGCCAAGGAAGCUAAAGUGACGAUCUGAUCAAUUUUGCUUUGCUCAACUAAGCUUCUGCUGCCAGGUAUGACAUCACAUCAGCACACCAAUAGAAUCAGCAUUACAAAUAAAAUGACACCUUUUCAGUUUUCAAGUACCGGUGGAAGUGAAGGCUGGUGUUUCUAUUCACUGAACAUCCAUGUUUAUGUGCAUAGGAAGAUGACAGUAAAUGAGUGGUUCUUCCAGACACGGCACUAAUAACAUCCAAGAGGCUGUUACCAAUACAAGAUCAUGAAAAUAAGCAUACAAUAUCUGAUUAAGAGAUUAAUUGAAGAGGCCUGGCUUUAGUGGUAUGUCACAUAUCCUCAUAAAAAUAUGGGAGGAGUUUGAUUCAACAUAGGAUACUUCCCUUUGACUUAAAAAAGAAUAGAAGAUGAUCCAUAUUAAGGUUGACUUUAUGACUUCAUGAUAGGAUCACAGGUUUUAGUUGCUGGCCAUAGUCCUGAAUAGUGGUGGUUUUUGCAGUACUAGUCUACACUUUUAGAAGAGGUAGUUGAAUUAGACAGUUUCCAUGAGGUCAGCUAGAGCUAUCUUGCCAUACAUGCCAUGGUCCAAGGAAUCAAAUUGCUUGCUAAUCUGCAUAAUGUCCAUCUCAGUAAUCUUUCCCAUUUGCUUAAGCUUGUAUAUGACAAAGUCAGACUUACUGCACAAAAGUAAAAGGUCCAUGAUCAGAUGGCUCAUGAAAAUCUACUCCCAUGUUGGUGAAUAAUACUGAUGGAGCAGAGCGAGAGCGAUGAAUAAUCUUCGCUUUCUUGAUGCUCAAGUUGGCUAUGAGGUUAAUAAAAGAAGGUUUCCUCGCUUCAUUGAUGAUAAGAGGUGAAUUUGAUUGAGACAGUGAUGGAGGAGCAAGAUCAAGGACAUAUUGAUCCUUGAGUAAUGGUUUACUUAUUGAAUGUGUUUCUCCAUUACUGGAGAGAAGGCUGAGGAGAGGCUCCUGCAUUGUGCAUGGAUUAGAUGUGAGUGGGAGAUUAAUGGUAUCAAACUAUAGUACCAUAUAUUCAUUCAACUACAAGUCAAACUUGGGGAAAGGUGGUUAACUGUGUGUAGUAUGGCUCUGAAGAAAAAGACUUCAAGCAUAACUGUUGCUAAUUUCCUUGCUGCCAACUGCUUUAAUUAUUAGGUUUAUUUAAUAAAUCAUAAUAUAGUAUAUACUAAUAUAAGAUAUUUUAACAAAA